UUAUUGUGUGCUUAUCGUACUUCACAUUCGUCGACUGGAUAUUUUGCGCGUUUCGAAACGUCCUCCCGCAUUGAUCAAGUGGGGGAUGAUGCAUCGUCGUUCGUCGCCACUCAGAACAGCCUCAUCGGACGCGCAGCUUUGUCUCCGCGCUCAAAAGUGCUUUCUUGCUUCGUUUAUCGAUUACCCACGUUAAUCGCGUGAUUCAAUAUCGAGUGUACCUCCAAAGACAAUCCACUUCCCAGUGUUGUGACAAGCGGCGACCGCGGUUGUACAGGAGCGGAAGCGUGAGCCUUUUGACGAGCGACUGUGAAGAAUGCAAAGCCAGUGCCAAACUUCGGAAUCGAUAGCACGGGCGGCGUGUUGGCACAGCGAGGAUGAGAACGAGAGACCCGAUAGACAGCGAUGACAGCUGUUCACGGCACCGACACAGAGGACAUAUUGCAGUGCAAGAUAGGAGCGGUCUUCCUGCAAGCCCAGACAAGCCAUAUUGAGUGGUAGGAAUCUCUUUUCAUCACUACAAUGGGACAGUUUUGGCACGUAGCACAUCUCGAGAUAUAGCAUAUACUGGCCCUUAGCUUAGGUGUGGGAAACCUAUCUCCUGCACUUUAGUGCAGUGCAUAUUAUUUAGUUUGGAUCCGUUGAACAUGGAACAUGAAAUAGUUUGUAUUAUUUAGUUUGUAAUCCUUGAACAUGGAUUGACGCCAGAGCCAACGUUUUGACACUUGAAGUUGUCUUCAUAAAGGGAGCAACUGGUGCUUCUUGACAUUGCUGUCUUGACGAAGGCAAGUCUACUUGUUGAAAAGUUGGCUGCAGCGACAUAACCUCUUUGAGUACUUUUUGUCUCUUCAAGCGUCCUCCAUCUUCCACCGAACAUCUGUUUUGUUUGGAUUGCCAUGAAACUGU
rnacentral:lncRNA from 1 species